AACCCUUGUAAUCUUCGGGAUUGGCUGGAGAGCAUCCAUGGCCCGACCGUAAUCGGGCGACACCCAGGGGA
rnacentral:ncRNA from 1 species